AGCUCAAGCCAGUCUGGUCCUUGCUACAACACAGGGAGGACCUUGUCAGUUCAAUAACCAUUUAGCAAAUCAUUCCUGGGGUCCUACCAACUGCAAUGCAGACACCUGAGUUUCCUCAUGAUGCAGUCCAGGCCUGUGAGAUGAACCAUCUAGAAGACUCUAGCAUCAGAUCCCUGUUGACCUGUCCACAGCCUUAACUACCCUCCAUCACCUGUUCACUCCUUUUGCUCUGACCACGGCUGGGAGCCAGUGAACCUGAGGGAGGCCAUGGAGGAGACGAGGACUUCCCUCUCCUGCUGACCCAAAGGCCCAUCUUCCGAAUUCUGGAACCCCCUUUUCAUCAGCUCUCCCGGCCAACCAGCUCUAGCUGCCCCACUACCUUCAGGGCUAAGAGACUCUUGUUGAUUUCUGCGCCCUCCAUGCGGGUCUGCCGGUCAGCACUGGAAGUGUCUGCGCCUCGCUCAUUCCCUGCCAGAUCUACCAAAGAGAACUUGCCAUGCAUUCUCCCUUUAGCUCGAAGAAGAAUUUGGAAGCAGGCGUGGGAGCGGGAGGAAUUGGAGUUGGCAAAUGUCUGCCCAGAGGUUCUGUGGUAAAGAAAGGUUAUGAGAUUCUCUGGUCACCAGCCCCCAUGGCACCCAAGUCCACAGAAGUUCUCUAGGAAGGGAGGGACACAGGUUAGGAGGCAAAGAAGUCUUGUGUCUUCCUGUCCCAGGCUUCCAUCUUGCCCUCUCUGGGUAGCAAUUCUCCCUCCAGCUCUGGACCUAAUACAUUUUCCUGGCAGCCAAAUUAGUACUGGAUUCUGGACUAGGGCCUGGAGCCCUAGAAGGACAGGGGGAAGGAUAAAUUGCCUCUGCUAAAGGGCCCAAAGGGAAGGAGGAAGCUGUCAUGAACCACCUGCCAGAACUUGAGGACCCUGUAGAGGGCAGCCCCCUCCCUGGGCCUCCAUAGCUGCCUAGCGCCCCCACUGUACCAAUGUGUACAGCCCUAGUGGAAAAGUGCUCUCCUAAUUCUGUGCAGAGGGGGUAUGAACCCAUUACUUCCAGCCCAGAACAGACCUAGAGCUCCCGACUUCCACCACAAAGGGAGGGAAGAGCAAGGAGGAACCCAGAGAAGCCAGGAAGCAUGCCUUUGGGGUAACACUUGUUUUUAUUUUUAUUUUUUUGAGACAGGAUCUCGCUCUG